UUCAAUAUUUAAAUAAGAGCAUAUAUAGUUCUUAUUCCCUACCCCAUGGCCAUGGGGUGGCUUCACUCCCUCUUCUCUCCAUUCAAGAAGCUCUGGCUUCGCAUUCAUUCUAAUAACAAGAAGAGUAGAGGAAUAUACAUACUCUACGAGGAUGUGAAGUCUUGUCCUUAUGAGGAUGUGCACAUCCUAUGGUCCAUCCUCGUCGAGUCAUGCCCUCCGGCAUCACCACCGAAGAGAUGAACGGUUAAUUGAUUCCGGUCUACACAUGAAUAACUUGAUUAUAAGAGUUUGAGUUUUGGUUUUCGUCUUGAGUUUGUAUAUACAUUGCAUAGAUAAAACUACACCAAAAAAAAAAAAAAAUGUAGUGUUUCUUCAAAGUUUGUAUAUGUUCAUAUAGUCCUUGUUUUAUUUCUACAACAACAAAAAUACAUAAGAGAAGCUUUGUUUUGAUGCUUUGAAGAAAGACAAAGAUUUGUGCAAGUGGGGGUGUGAAAUG